GAAAUAUUAAUAUCGUUUGGAAAACAAUGCAGCUGAAUCAUAACCCAAUCCCAAAGCAUUGAAUUUUUCUACAGAUCGCGAUUUGUUACGUUUUAAGUGCCAAAAUCUUCUAAUGACGUAAGACAUCCGACUCCAGCGCUUAAUAGAGUUAAAAAGCUACAUUUAUUGUACAAAAAAAAGAAGCAACGAAGCUGAAGGCGAGCGGAUACCAAGAUUGAUGAAAGAGCACUAUGUAUGCCCGGCUUGUCCACUACAAUGUAUGGAACACGUGCACAAACUACCAAGCUGUAAUUCUAAGGAUCAAAACUGUUUUCAAUUGAGUUACGCCAUUUUCACUGGGUGUACAUGCUUCCAUUUUACUAAAUUAAUAUUGUAUAUUAAUAUUAUUAUUAAAAAGUGUUUAAUACUUGAUUGUUGGUGUGCAUAUUAAUAACAAUUUUUUUAAAUAAAUUAACGACUCUUUCAAGGAUGAGCUUUUGUGAGUUUUCCUUAGGAAAGCAGCUGCUAUCAGUGAACCUUUCAUCUGCGAAAAUUCAUAACGACUCUUGGAUUUCACCUUCGUCAGAUUUUUCAACAAUAAAGAAAGAAAUUGUUAAGAAAAGUCAGUUGUUGCUUGCCAAAGAUGAUAAUUCCUUUGAGGUUAGUUUUCAACCAACAAAUAUUUUAGCCCAAAGGAAUAUUUUAGUCGUAAUAGAUUUAAAUGGUUUUCUAUACCACAGAAUCUUUAAAUGCCAACAUUUUAGUGAGACGGAGUUAUCUUCAAAAGUCCCUUGUUACCGUUUAGGUAAUUUUUAUGUUUAUCCCAGGCCUCACUAUAAAAGUUUUCUGCAAUUUCUAUUUGCAAAUUUUCAUGUGGGGUUGUGGUCUAGUGCUAAGAAACAUAAUAUUUUGAGGCUUAUAAACGAUGAAAAUUGUGGAUUUCCUAAAACCUUUUUGGACAUGUUAACUUUUAUAUUUGAUCAAUCCCAUUGCACUGCAAUUCCAGUUCCUAACUCUAAAAAACCUUUAUUUCUAAAAGAUUUAAACGAUAGCGUUGAAAAAUUGCAGAGGAAUCCGAAAUAUACGAGUAUAUCGCCGCCCACUUGGACUCGUAACGAUGUUAAAGAUGAAAGUCUUGGGAUCAACGGCUCAGUUAGAAAAUUUUUGACUCAUCUAUUGGAUGCUGGAAAAGUGAAUGUCCCAGAAUUUGUGGAAACACAUCCGUUUACUGCCUUGUAAGAGUAAUAAAAACCUUUGUUAAAACUUCAA